UCUCCGUAUUUAACUUUGAUCCUAAGCCUAUCCAAGCCCCAUCUACCCCCACUAACUCCUCUUCCAACAGCUUCUCCUCUUCUCUAAAGCCGAUCACCAUCCUCAUCCUUCCCAUCUAUCUAACAUGGUCUCAAGCCUUACUCAAUCUCACCACCUCCUCCUUUUCCAACAUCUUCUUCUCUGGUCUAAACCCUACAACUAUCCUCAUCUCUCUUCUUCAUCUAACAUAAUCGUGAGCCCCACCCACUCUCACCACC
rnacentral:lncRNA from 1 species